rnacentral:lncRNA from 1 species
UGGAUUUUUCAAACUUAAUGUGAAUCCAAACAUCCACUAAAACCUCGGUGCUCAAAUUGGAACAGGAUCAACCAACACUUCUUUAAUAAAUGUCUUCAUUAGUCCGUUAGAAUCCGUGUAGUUAUCUUUGUUUUUGUAAAUAACAUCCAUAAAACGCGAAAGAUUGAGAACACAAAUCAUAAAAGGCAUUGGAACUUUGGUUGGCCUAAGACAUUCUUCAUUUAUAUCUUUCCAAACAAUUGUCAUUCUAUUUUUGCAUUCUUGAAUAGCAGCUUCUCUAGACAUAUCAAAUUGCUUCAUAUAACAAUCUAACAAUGAGCAAACAUGUCCUCUUUUCUGUUCAAACUGUACAUUAGCCUGCAAAGAGUUGCAGCGGCGUUAACAAUUUCAUCCAUUAUAUUUUAUAAAUACCUCACUGGAAACAAUUUCAUCCAUUAGCCUGCAAAGAGUUGCAGCGGCGUUAACAAUUCUUGGCUCAUUUGAUACCCAAAUGAAGAUCUCCUUUGUGGAUAUGUCACCCAUACCAAUGUAAGAAGUUAAUAUCAGCAAAGGGUAAGCACCUGAUUUUUUUGAUAUGCGCAUGUACUCUUCUAUUGUUGGUAUAUGGUUUUCAUUCAGCCAUCUCGCCUCUGUCAUAAAUGCUUGGACUGACUUUUUGAACUACCAUCAUUAACAGACAACAAAUUUAAAUACGAGGACACUCAUGUUUCUUAUAUAGGAACCUUUUACUUAAUUAGUCCAAAAAAAGGUUAGCGGUUUCUUGGUCUAUCCUUUUCUUAUUUUAAAAAUCAAGAUCUGAUAUAGAGACUAACUAAUCUAAGGGCUCUCAUCCAACAAUUCACUUGUAUGGACUUGCCCACCGAAAUGGGCAUAGGGGAAAUUGAAAGUGGAUCGUUGAAAGGAGCACACACCAAAAACCCAAGCCAACACCACUGGACACUAACACAAAUGGUUUUUUAAAAGUACAUAUUUAUAUUGUUUUACUUACGAAACUGAACCACAAAGAAGUGAACAGUAGAAAUUCCCAAAAAAUAGUUAAAAGUGCAUAAAAAAAUUUGUGGCCCAUACUCUGUUACUAGUGGGUAAUUAGAAAAAGCAGAAAGUCAUACUUCAGUUUUGUAGUAGGCAAGGGUAUAUAUCCUUCCUUCUUUUCUAAUUUCUUUCUCUAUUUCUUCGUAAACUGUUAAGAAUGAUCUAUAUAUAGGCAGAUCCCUCGACCUCUUAUUGAUUUCUCAACCGUGGCAGCGCAGGCUUUAAAUAUCACGCUUCUGGUAACGCCCUUACCGGACAAGCGUGUUUGGAAGCAUGCUACUGAUGGCGUUCUUACUGCUAGGCUUGCACAUCUGUUUUUACGGCCUACUCUUGUUUGUCUUGAUUGGCCGGCUGUUAUUUGGAGAACUUGCAUUCCUCCCUCACAUUCAUUUGUUUUCUGGAGAAUGAUGUUGUCUAAGCUCCCAACUGAUGAGAACUUACGAAUGCGGGGCUGCACCUUAGUUUCGGUUUGUGUCCUUUGUUUCAAGCAGGCUGAAACAUCAUCUCAUUUAUUUCUUGAAUGUGACUUUGCGGUUUCUGUUUGGAGAUGGUUGAGCGUUAAAUUACAAUGCAAUAUCUCGCUGCUAUCUUUCUCCUCCAUUCUUGAUUGCAUACCGCAGCGCUGCAGCUCUCAGGUUUCAGAUGUAUUUGCUGCUGCCCUCGUUCAUACGGUGCACACUAUUUUGUUGGCAAGAAAUGCAAUUCGGUUCAGCUCUUUAAAAACUACUCUUCAUAACACUUUCGCAAAAAUUUCUACUUUGGUAACCAUGUCGGGUGUAAUUUCUACCGGUAAUUGUGUUAUUGGUGAUGUUGAUUUGUUACAUAGCCUGUUAAUUCCUCCAUCGCACCGUCGUGUUAGGGAUAUUUUUUCAGUUAUUUGGAAGCCUCCAACAAUUACUUGGGUGAAGGCGAACACGGAUGGAUCCGUUAUUAGUAUUAAUUCUUCUUGUGGGGGAAUUUUUAGAGAUUUUACAGGCGCUUACUUGGGCGGCUUUUCUAGCAAUCUUGGAGAGGGAACCGUUUUUGAAGCGGAGCUUACAGGUCUUAUGCUUGCUAUGGAAUAUGCGGCAAGACAUAUGCUUUUAAAAAUCAUUCCGCCAUUCUUAUGCGUUUCAGAAACCGUUGGCAUAAUUGCAUGCAACUUGGUUUAUUUGUUAUCUGUUCUCAUAUUUACAGGGAAGGAAAUUGCUGUGCAGACGCUAUGGCUUCAUUGGGACAUGAAUUGACUGACACUACUUGGUUCCACAUUAUGCCAGUUUCUUUGUCAAUUGAUUUCAGUAGAGAUAGAAAUGGGCUGCCUAACUUUAGAUUUCCGUAGCCUUUUCUGUCUGUUUUUCUGUUUUGUUUUUUGCUUUGUUUUGAGGGUAAUGGCCCAGUCCCCCCUCCUUUGUACAGUUUUCCCUUUUUUAUUAAUAUUACUGCGUAUUGAGAGGCGGUACAGGAUGGGAGCUGCUGUUGUGUGCCAACCUAGUUGGGAUGUUUCAGCUUCUCCCUGAUACCUCACCUCUCUGUUUGCCUAUAUAGAUAUUUAUAGUAAACUUUAAAGAAUUAUACUAAUUCCCAUUAUACGCAUGUUGAACUAAAACUUUUUUAAUAUAUUCUCAAGUUCCUGCAUGUGUUAAAAACCUUUAAAAUAUAUUCUCAAGUUUCGAAAUGUGUUAAUUUGAGCAUUUAUUUUUGAACAUUGUUGACCUAAUUGCCUGUCUUAUUUUAACUCUAGCUACUGGAUCUAGAUUUGUUUUUCUAUAUAUUUAUUUCAUUAAUUUGGCCUGUACAUCAUAUACUAUAAGUUUAAUAUUUAUUUCAACCUCUAAUUUUUAAGGCAAAGCUGUUGGUGUGCGCACGCAACAGUUGACAUGCAUAUAGUAUAUGCAUUCUAAGAAACGUGUGAUAAUUUGAUUAUCUUCAUAAUUAUAAAUAAAUAAGUUCCCCUUUGUGCUUGUUAUCUUUUCAUCAUAUUCCUCUCAACAAAAUAAAAAAUAUUCUUUUCAACUUUUCGUUUUUUUCUUAUAAACUAAAGGAUUAAUUGUUUGAAUUGACCAUGCAAAAUACGCAAUGUUGAAAAAUGACUCUGUAAAAUAAAAAAGAGAGAUUCUUUUAUUUUUUUUACCUUCUAAUAUACGCGUGGUCCAAAAAAAUGAUCUAGAGAGAUUGAAUUUUUUCAUGGUUUUUUUCGGAUAUCUUUAAUUAGGAUGUUAAAACAUGGUUUUACACACAAAAGUUAGAUUUUUCCGACUAGGGACAGAUUUAUCAUGAAAUUUUAUUACCCAUAAUUAUGAAUUUCUUAAACAAUUCAUAAUUAAUUUGUAUCUCAUUUAAAAACUUCAAAAUUUCAUGGUGAAGGUUCUUAUCAUGUUCUAACCAUGCCUACAGAAUUAUAUAACGAAAUUUGAUCCGUCAGUAUAUGCUUACUCGGAACAAAAUUGCAAUUUCGCACGUUUUUGUUGAAAAAUAAUAAUCGAUCGAAACAUCUUUGAAAACCUACGAAAUUUUGCAGAUUCUUUUUUUGUAUUUCUAUAAAUGUCUCUGCAAACAAUCAGCUCAAAAUUAGUUUUUAGGUUAGUGUUUUCAUUUUUUUGUUUUUUGUGUUUUUGAUGCUUUAAAAAUUCAUAAUUAAUUCAACCUUAGUUGAAAAAUUAUAAAUUUUUGUGUAAAGUCAUAUUUUAAUGUCCUAAACAUGCUUGAAAAUAUUCAACCUCUAAGAAGAUUUUUUGGACUUCAACUAUAUUACAAGGUCAAAAGCCUAUACUUGAUGCUUAUUAGGCCAAAAACCACUAUCGAAUAGUGCCCCGAUUAACAUAUGAUUCAAAAGGUAGUGUAUGAUGUAUCGUCAACAAAAUACAAAACUAUCUGUACGCCCACCAAUGAGAAGCUUUAGAUUCCUGAUAAUCUUUAAUGUCUCCGACCAUCAUUACUCUACGAUGGUUGAUGGAUAUAAAAAUUGUUGUACAAAACAGUUUUCUACCGACUCUUUAGGAGUUGUUCCAUAAGUUCUAUGGAAGGAUCCUUAGACCACCACUCAAGUACACAAUUAUUAUCCUUUCAAUACAUCUCACUCUUGCUGUCUUACCUAAAUAAGUGUCGCCGUGUUUGCAAGUGUCUCCCGAAUUGCAAAGCCAUGGUUGCUGCUCGACAAAUGUCAACAUUAUGAUCACUUCAGGUCAUUAGUGAAAAUUAAAUUCUUAAUAAGGAUGAACGAAAAAAUAGUCUGCACGAAACUUUAGCAACAUACAAGGAUAUUUAAUUUUAAUAAAGAAACAAAGACUAGUCUUAAAGCAACCAAACAAUGGCAUUUUUUUUUAAAACAUCAAUUAUUUAUUAAAAAUUAUAUAUUUAAUAUUUAUUAAAUGUACAAAUUCUAAUAUAAACUUACUAUUUACAACUUCUUAAACAUGUGAAAUUUUACACAUUAUGCAAAAAUCCUUAGUUUAUUAAUAUUUUGUUGAGGGAAAGGUUUCAAAUGGAAAAAUGCUUAGUUUAAUGUCCUAAACAUGCUUGAAAAAAUUCAACCUCUAAGAAGAUUUUUUGGACUUCAACUAUAUUACAAGGUCAAAAGCCUAUAUUUGAUGCUUAUUAAGCCAAAAACAACUAUCGAAUAGUGCCUUGAUUAACAUAUGAUCCAAAAGGUAGGGUAUGAUGUAUCGUCAACAAAAUACAAAAUUAUCUUGACGCCCACCAAUGAGAAGCUUUAGAUUCCUGAUAAUCUGUAAUGUCUCCGACCAUCAUUACUCUACGAUGGUUGAUGGUUACAAAAAUUGCCGUACAAAACAGUUUUCUAACGACUCUUUGGGAGUUGUUCCAUUAGUUCUAUGAAAGGAUUCUUAGACCACCACUGAAGUACACUAUUAUUAUACUUUCAAUACUUCUCACUCUUGCUGUCUUACCUAAAUAAAUGUCGCCGUGUUUGCAAGUGUCUCCCGAAUUGCAUAGCCAUGGUUGCUGCUCGACAAAUGUCAACAUUAUGAUCACUUCAAGUCAUUAGUGAAAAUUAAAUUCUUAAUAAGUCUGCACGAAAAAAUAGUCUGCACGGAACUUUAGCAAUAGUCUUUAACGUUUUUUAAAGAAUAUUAUUAGUUUUCAUGUUUUAAAGGAACCAACAAAUGGCAUUUUUUUAAAAACAUCAAUUAUUUAUUAAAAAUGAUAUAUUUAAUAUUUAUUAAAUGUACAAAUUCUAAUAUAAACUUACUAUUUUCAACUUCUUAAACAUGUGACAUUUUAUACAUUAUGAAAAAAAUCCUUAGUUUAUUAAUAUUUUGUUGAGGAAAUGUAUCAAAUGGAAAAAUGCUUAGUUUAUUGAUAUUUUAUUGAGGAACAGUUUCACAAUAUCUAUAAUUAAAUUUAUUGCAUAUGUACAUCCAACAUGUAUAAAUAUCCAUCCGAUAAUUUUUUAAGGUAGGCUUCUGGUGUGCGCAUGCCGUAGUUUAUCACAUAUGCACAUUCUAAAAAACAUAUUCAUAUUUGUAAUCCUCAAACAAGUAAGUUUCCCUCUUAACAUAUUUGUGUUUGUUAAGUUGGUGCUGGGGAAACAUGGAAUGAAUAAUACAUUUUAUCGUUUAAAUAUUUGUCUUGCGUUUUUUUAGGGAUAACAUGUCUCAUGUUAUUUUUACGUAUUCGUUACAAUAUUUGUUUUGCGUUUUUUGUUCAUCGUCAUCAAAGACAAAUAUUUAAUUUACACACUAAUUUUAACUGAUUAUUUAAUGACAAUCAUUUUUCUUAUGCAUGGUUUUUAUUUAUAACACCUCAUAUUCUUUAAUUUCAUUCACAACUAAAACUUCAUUUAUUUUCGAUUAGUUUCAACUAGCGGAAAGACGGGCACGCUACUGCGCUAACGCAUGUGAUCAUUUUAUUCUGUUUGUCAAACUCAUGAUUGAGGAUUAUUUCUUUGUUUAGAACCAAAGAAAAUUUUCGGAACUCAAACUCAUGACUGCGGAUAAUCAAUUAUAUUUAUAAAAGAAAUAAUAAAAAAAUAAAAUCCUUAGUAUUUUUAAUUUUGGGUACAAAUUUAUUUUAACUAUAUUUAGAAUUUCAUUAAUUUGGCAUGUACAUCUACAUAUAUAAGUUUAAUAUUUAUUUCAACCUCUAAUUUUUUAAGGCAAAGCUGUUGGUGUGCGCACGCAACAGUUGACAUGCAUAUAGUAUAUGCAUUCUAAGAAACAUGUGAUAAUUUGAUUAUCUUCAUAAUCUAUCAAUAAAUAAGUUCCCCUUUGUGCUUGUUAUCUUUGCAUCAUUUUCCUCUCAACAAAAUAAAAAAUAUUCUUUUCAUACUUUUCGUUUUUUUUCUUAUAAACUAAAGGAUUAAUUGCUUGAAUUGACCAUGCAAAAUACGCAAUGUUGAAAAAUGACCCUGUAAAAUAAAAAAUAGAUAUUCUAACCCUGUAAUUAGAGAUUCUUUUUUUUUUACCUUAUAAUAUACGCGUGGUCCAAAAAAGUGAUCUAGAGAUUGAAUUUUUUCAUGGUUUUUUUUUUCCAGAUAUCUUUAAUUAGGAUGUUAAGACAUGGUUUUACACACAAAAGUUAGAUUUUUCUAACUAGGGACAGAUUUAUCACGAAUUUUUAUUACCCAUAAUUAUGAAUUUCUUAAACUAUUCAUAAUUAAUUUGUAUCUCAUUUAAAAUCUUCAAAAUUGCAUGGUGAAGGUUCUUAUCUUGUUCUAACCAUGCCUACAGAAUUAUAUAACGGAAUUUGACCCGUGAGUAUACGCUUAUUCGGAAAAAAAUUGCUAUUUUGCACGUUUUUGUUAAAAAAAAAAUAAUCGAUCGAAACAUCUUUGAAAACCUACGAAAUUUUGCAGAUCCUUUUUUUGUGUUUCUAUAGAUGUCUCUGCAAAAAAACAGCUCAAAAUUAGUUUUUAGGUUAGUGUUUUCAUUAUUUUGUUUUUUUUUUUUUGUGUUUCUGAUGCUUUAAAAAUUCAUAAUUAAUUCAACCUUAGUUGAAAAAUUAUAAUUUUUUGUGGAAAGUCGUAUUUUAGUGUCCUAAACAUGCUUGAAAAAAUUCAACCUCUAAGAAGAUUUUUUGGACUUCAACUAUAUUACAAGGUCAAAACCCUAUACUUGAUGCUUAUUAGGCCAAAAACCACUAUCGAAUAGUGCCUUGAUUAACAUAUGAUCCAAAAUGUAGGGUAUGAUGUAUCGUCAACAAAAUACAAAAUUAUCUUGACGCCUACCAAUGAGAAGCUUUAGAUUCCUGAUAAUCUUUAAUGUCUCCGACCAUCAUUACUCUACGAUGGUUGAUGGUUACAAAAUUUGCCGUACAAAACAGUUUUCUAACGACUCUUUGGGAGUUGUUCCAUUAGUUCUAUGAAAGGAUCCUUAGACCACCACUCAAGUACACUAUUAUUAUCCUUUCAAUACUUCUCACUCUUGCUGUCUUACCUAAAUAAGAGUCGCCGUGUUUGCAAGUGUCUCCCGAAUUGGAUAGCCAUGUUUGCGGCUCAACAAAUGUCAGCAUUAUGAUCAUUUCAAGUCAUUAAUGAAAAUUAAAUUCUUAAUAAGUCUGGACGAAAAAAUAGUCUGCACGGAACUUUAGCAAUAGUCUUUAACGUUUUUUAAAGAAUCUUAUUAGUUUUCAUGUCUUAAAGGAACCAAAAAAUGGCAUUUUUUUUAAAACAUCAAUUAUUUAUUAAAAAUGAUAUAUUUAAUAUUUAUUAAAUGUACAAAUUCUAAUAUAAACUUACUAUUUUCAACUUCUUAAACAUGUGACAUUUUAUACAUUAUGAAAAAAAUCCUUAGUUUAUUAAUAUUUUGUUGAGGAAAUGUAUCAAAUGGAAAAAUGCUUAGUUUAUUGAUAUUUUAUUGAGGAACAGUUUCACAAUAUCUAUAAUUAAAUUUAUUGCAUAUGUACAUCCAACAUGUAUAAAUAUCCAUCCGAUAAUUUUUUAAGGUAGGCUUCUGGUGUGCGCAUGCCGUAGUUUAUCACAUAUGCACAUUCUAAAAAACAUAUUCAUAUUUGUAAUCCUCAAACAAGUAAGUUUCCCUCUUAACAUAUUUGUGUUUGUUAAGUUGGUGCUGGGGAAACAUGGAAUGAAUAAUACAUUUUAUCGUUUAAAUAUUUGUCUUGCGUUUUUUUAGGGAUAACAUGUCUCAUGUUAUUUUUACGUAUUCGUUACAAUAUUUGUUUUGCGUUUUUUGUUCAUCGUCAUCAAAGACAAAUAUUUAAUUUACACACUAAUUUUAACUGAUUAUUUAAUGACAAUCAUUUUUCUUAUGCAUGGUUUUUAUUUAUAACACCUCAUAUUCUUUAAUUUCAUUCACAACUAAAACUUCAUUUAUUUUCGAUUAGUUUCAACUAGCGGAAAGACGGGCACGCUACUGCGCUAACGCAUGUGAUCAUUUUAUUCUGUUUGUCAAACUCAUGAUUGAGGAUUAUUUCUUUGUUUAGAACCAAAGAAAAUUUUCGGAACUCAAACUCAUGACUGCGGAUAAUCAAUUAUAUUUAUAAAAGAAAGAAUAAAAAAAUAAAAUCCUUAGUAUUUUUAAUUUUGGGUACAAAUUUGUUUUAACUAUAUUUAGAAUUUCAUUAAUUUGGCAUGUACAUCUACAUAUAUAAGUUUAAUAUUUAUUUCAACCUCUAAUUGUUUAAGGCAAAGCUGUUGGUGUGCGCACGCAACAGUUGACAUGCAUAUAGUAUAUGCAUUGUAAGAAACAUGUGAUAAUUUGAUUAUCUUCAUAAUCUAUAAAUAAAUAAGUUCCCCUUUGUGCUUGUUAUCUUUGCAUCAUUUUCCUUUCAACAAAAUAAAAAAAUAUUCUUUUCAUACUUUUCGUUUUUUUUUCUUAUAAACUAAAGGAUUAAUUGUUUGAAUUGACCAUGCAAAAUACGCAAUGUUGGAAAAUGACCCUGUAAAAUAAAAAAUAGAUAUUCUAACCCUGUAAUUAGAGAUUCCUUUUUUUUUACCUUAUAAUAUACGCGUGGUCCAAAAAAGUGAUCUAGAGAUUGAAUUUUUUCAUGGUUUUUUUUUUCCAGAUAUCUUUAAUCAGGAUGUUAAGACAUGGUUUUACACACAAAAGUUAGAUUUUUCUGACUAGGGACAGAUUUAUCACGAAUUUUUAUUACCCAUAAUUAUGAAUUUCUUAAACUAUUCAUAAUUAAUUUGUAUCUCAUUUAAAAUCUUCAAAAUUGCAUGGUGAAGGUUCUUAUCAUGUUCUAACUAUGCCUACAGAAUUAUAUAACGGAAUUUGACGCGUGAGUAUACGCUUACUCGGAAAAAAAUUGCUAUUUCGCACGUUUUUGUUAAAAAAAAAAUAAUCGAUCGAAACAUCUUUGAAAAUCUACGAAAUUGUGCAGAUCCUUUUUUUGUAUUUCUAUAGAUGUCUCUGCAAAAAAACAGCUCAAAAUUAGUGUUUUCAUUAUUUUGUUUUUUUUUUGUGUUUCUGAUGCUUUAAAAAUUCAUAAUUAAUUCAAUCUUAGUUGAAAAAUUAUAAUUUUUUGUGGAAAGUCGUAUUUUAGUGUCCUAAACAUGCUUGAAAAAAUUCAACCUCUAAGAAGAUUUUUUGGACUUCAACUAUAUUACAAGGUCAAAACCCUAUACUUGAUGCUUAUUAGGCCAAAAACCACUAUCGAAUAGUGCCUUGAUUAACAUAUGAUCCAAAAGGUAGGGUAUGAUGUAUCGUCAACAAAAUACAAAAUUAUCUUGACGCCCAACAAUGAGAAGCUUUAGAUUCCUGAUAAUCUUUAAUGUCUCCGACCAUCAUUACUCUACGAUGGUUGAUGGUUACAAAAUUUGCCGUACAAAACAGUUUUCUAACGACUCUUUGGGAUUUGUUCCAUUAGUUCUAUGAAAGGAUCCUUAGACCACCAUUCAAGUACACUAUUAUUAUCCUUUCAAUACUUCUCACUCUUGUUGUCUUACCUAAAUAAGUGUCGCCGUGUUUGCAAGUGUCUCCCGAAUUGCAUAGUCAUGGUUGCUGCUCGACAAAUGUCAGCAUUAUGAUCAUUUCAAGUCAUUAGUGAAAAUUAAAUUCUUAAUAAGUCUGCACGAAAAAAUAGUCUGCACGGAACUUUAGCAAUAGUCUUUAACGUUUUUUAAAGAAUCUUAUUAGUUUUCAUGUCUUAAAGGAACCAAAAAAUGGCAUUUUUUUUUUUAAACAUCAAUUAUUUAUUAAAAAUGAUAUAUUUAAUUUUUAUUAAAUGUACAAAUUCUAAUAUAAACUUACUAUUUUCAACUUCUUAAACAUGUGACAUUUUAUACAUUAUGAAAAAAAUCCUUAGUUUAUUAAUAUUUUGUUGAGGAAAGGUAUCAAAUGGAAAAAAGCUUAGUUUAUUGAUAUUUUGUUGAGGAACAGUUUCAUAAUAUCUAUAAUUAAAUUUAUUGCAUAUGUACAUCCAACAUGUAUAAAUAUCCAUCCGAUAAUUUUUUAAGGUAGGCUUCCGGUGUGCGCAUGCCGUAGUUUAUCACAUAUUCACAUUCUAAAAAACAUAUUCUUAUUCGUAAUCCUUAAACAAAUAAGUUUCCCUAUUAACAUAUUUGUGUUUGUUAAGUUGGUGCUGGGAAAACAUGGAAUGAAUAAUACAAUUUAUCGUUUAAAUUAUUUGUGUUGCGUUUUUUUAGGGAUAACAUGUUUCAUGUUAUUUUUACGUAUUCAUUACAAUAUCUGUCUUGGGUUUUUUCUUCAUCUUCAUCAAAGACAAAUAUUUAAUUUAUACACUUAUUUUAACUGAUUUUGCAUGCAAGCAGCUGAAUCUUCACAACAUAUAUUUUUUGACUGUCUUGUCACAUAUCAGCUUUCGGAGUGGCUUGGAAAGGGGACAGACCAGAUUUUGGACUGUGCAAAUUGGUGUCAGCUUCUUAUGGGGAGAGUUGGCAUCUGAAGUAAACUUGACCAUCAGACUUUGAGUUCUGCUAUAAUUCACACCUUAGGGGCCAUUUGGAUUGAAAGAAAUCAACGGUACUUUCAUGGCAAGAAACACGCCAUGACCACACUUUUUAACAUUGUUCUGGCAGAAGUAAAAUUAAGCUACACCUUAAGUUUGGCUAAGGUGAGUCUGCUAUGCUAGACUACAAAAUAGCAAAACUGUUCAGAAUUCCUUUCAAAAUCCAGAGAGUUGUUUUGGUGUCUGAAGUGGUUUGGAGCCCUCCCUAUGAAGGAGUCAUCAAGCUUAAUUGUGAUGGCUCAUCUGUAGGUACCCAGCCUUGUGGCUCUAUUGGAGUUGUUCUCGGAGACUCUCUCUCUACUUUUCUUGGGGCCAUAUCCAGCAACAUAGGCUAUGCUACACCUUUAGAAGACGAGUUUAGUGCUUGUAUGCUAGCUAUUGAGAAGGUCAAUGCGCUUCAUCUAUCUCAUAUUUGUCUGGAAACUGAUUCAUUAAGUGUGGUCAAGGCCUACAAUAAGGAUAUGGGCAUACCUCGGCAGAUGAGGGCCAGAUGGAUAAACAGCAGGAAAUUUUGUGACAACAUUUCAUGUACUUGCAAGUUCAUAGAGAGGGCAAUAUGGUAGCAGAUGCAUUAGCUAAAAACGGACAGGGCCUCUCUUGGCAUUCCACUCAAUGGUAGCCUUCAACACCUUCUUUCAUCUUUGCUCUUCUAUCUAGAGACAUAUUAGGAUUUUUUUUUUUCUUUCUAGAAUGCAUAUGUCUUGAUUCUUUCUUCCCUUCUGCUUACUUUGAGAAGGGUUUGGAUUUGCUUUGUUGUUUUUUUUUUUUUUUUUUACUGUUUUGAUUUCUAUUUUGUAAAAGGUUCAGACCUCUCCUGGGUUUAUAUUGCAUUGUUAACUUUAUCAAAAAAAAAAAAAACUGAUUAUUCAAUGACAAUCAUUUUUCUUAUGCAUGGUUUUUAUUUAUAACACCACAUAUUCUUUAAUUUCAUUCACAACUAAAACUUCAUUUAUUUCCCAUUAGUUACAACUAGCGGAAUGACGGGCACUAUCGUGCCCGUUUGUACGCUCUUUCUACUGCACUAACACAUGUGAUUAUUUUAUUAUGUUUGUUUGUAUAGUUUUGAUUAAAAAUUUUAAAUUUUUAAAUAUUAUGAAAAUUAUUGAUAUAUUGAUUUAUAAAAAAAAUAUUGUCAAGGCAUAUAACAAAAUUAUUUUUGAACUCAACAUAUUUUAGUUUUCCUGCAUAUAAAAUUAAGGUAAAAUAAUGAUCAUUUAUUGUUUAUUCUAAUAGUAAUUAGUUACAUCAUAACAUAAGUGUGUUAUGUAAAAGAAACAUCAUAAAUAAAUGUAUAAAUGACAUGUUAUGUAAAAGAAACAUUGAUAUGAUUGCAAUAAAAGAAUAUCUUUAAAAACUACAUUUUUCGUAAAGUCUCCAUCUUCCCCUUCUAUUUUCCUUUCUUUAAUGAGAACUUUUGUUGAAUUUUGAGAAACUCCUCUUGAAAAGGCUACAUAUAAUUGACCAUGGCUGAAAACAUGCCGUGGAAAAUAGAUUCCGACAUUGAAAAUGGUCUGCCUUUGUGACUUAUUUAUGGUAAUAGAAAAAGUUAGUUUAACAGGAAACUGUUUUCUUCUAAGCACAAUGGGAAGUCAUGAACUCACAUUUGUUUUUCAUUUAAUUCUGGACAAAAAUGCUCUUUUUCCAGCAUUGCUUCCUGUUAAGAUUUCCACAUUCAACAUAUUCUUAAAUAAACCACGACAUAAAAUCGCGUUCCAUUACACAGGCCAUAUCUAGGGUCUAUGUUUCGCAACAACAUCAAAGGUGCACCUUUUUUUUAUCUUUAAAAUAUGUGAUGGGAUUCUUCCUUGAGCAGUUGAGUUUAAAAAUUCAUGUUGAUAUAAGUUAUGAGUAUUCCCUUCAACCUCGUUAAAUGACAACAAAUUAUGUUAUUCUCCUGGAAACUAAUUGAUAAUUAUGUUAUUAAUUAUUGAACAUCAUCAUUUGUAAGUGUAAUUAUGGCUCUUUCAACCAUAUAUAAAUUAUGAUAUUACUCCUCGCCUAUGAAUCACAUACAUUCGUCAUAUUAGAUGUGUCUGAACACGUGUUGCAUCCGUAUCCCGUAUCCACUAAUAUAAUUACCCUAAAUUAUGUGAUUCUCUCAAAUUAUCAAAGUUACUGGCGUGUCAGUAUCCAUGUUGUAUUUGGUGUCGGUGUUCGUAUCCAUACUCUUAGCGGUCUUCUCUUUUUAUGGUCUCUCAAAUGGUGGCUUGAAAGUAACCAAAAACAAAAGAUGGUGGUUUGAAGCUUUCUAGUGUUUCUGUUUUUAGUUGUUGGUAACAUGAGUGUGAUUAUCGUUUAACAAUUUUGUAUUGUUUAAAUGGUUUUAACACUUUGAUUUCACUAUAUUUUAUUGGAUAUUGAACGGGGGGCAUGGGAGCAGUUUAUCAAUUGUAUACAUGCAGAACGUUUGGAAUCACAAAUGAAAAAGCAAUGCUUUUAUUCCUUUAAAUAGCAGUGGAAGGAGCUUAACGGAAGGUGAUGUUAUUACUUAUUUUCCCUUUAUUUAAUAAUUAAAAAAAACCACAGUUCUCUUUAUAUAUAAAAAAAAGUCACGCUAUCAUAGUUUGUAUAAGCAAUUAUAAACCAACAAAGUCAAAUAAUUCUUAAAAUUAAUCAUAAAUAAUUUGAAUCAUAAUCGCUUAUAAACCAGCAAAGUCAAAUAUAUAAUCCAUAAAAUUAAUCGACUUUGAUUAGUUGUAACAUGAAAGAAAAAGAAAAAAAAAACUUAACAGGUUAAUUCCGAAUUCUGAUGCAGAGGGGUUGAGAGACGUUGAGAAAAACUAAACAAUACGGGAACGGACUAUUAACUAUGAGAACUCUACUUAUUAAUAUUUAUUAUAGUGCUAACAAAACUUUUUCUAAAAUAUUUUGAGUCCUAUAAUAUUUUUUUAGAGGAUUUAAAGUCCAAACAUUAACAUUAUUUUUUGCUCACGUUUGUUAUUAAUAUUUUUUUACAAGAUUUAAAGUAUAAUCUUUAACAUUAUAUUUUGUCCACGUUUGUUACUAAUCUUUAAAGUCCACGUCCGAGGGUAACCCUGCUGCCUUGGGAAAACUUAAUUUGGAGCUCCUCUAUUCCGCCUUCUCACUCAUUUAUUUAUUGGAGAUUCCACCAUGGUAAGAUGCCCACGGACGAAAACCUUAGGAGUCGUGGCUGCAAUGUUGUAUCAAUUUGUAAUUUAUGCUUGAAAUCUGAAGAAACACCCGAGCAUCUGUUUCUUCGAUGCCAAUUUUCUAAGAAGCUUUGGGAGUGGUUUGGUGGUAAUCUCAAUCGGCCAAUUGACUGUUCAACAGCUGAUUCGCUUCUCUCUUGUGUUCCGGCGAGUUGCUCUUCCCAAGUGUCUGAUGUUUUUGUGGCAGCAAUCGUGCACACUCUGCACACUAUUUGAUGGGUUAGGAAUUCUUUGCGUUUUACAUCAUUCUCGCCUUCUUUACAUUCAGCCAAAGUUCGUAUUCACCAUUUGGUUGCAUCGUCUGGUAACCUCUCUAAAGGUAAGUUUUGCAAUCUUAUUUUGCUUUCCUUGAUGCUUUGGCGGUUUCCAUUCAUUGCCGCACUGUCAGAGAUAUUAUUAUGGUUCUAUGGAAGCCACCAUCUGCUCCGUGGCUGAAAGUUAACACAGAUGGGUCGGUGGUGGGUGGUUUCGCGGCUUGUGGUGGUCUGUUUCGUGACCACUUAGGUACGUUUCUUGGGGCCUUUUCUUGUAACGUUGGUAUACAGUCUGUUUAUUAUGCAGAGGUUCUUGCUAUUAUUUUAGCUAUGGAGUUUGCGGACCAGAAAGGGUGGAGGAAUAUUUGGAUUGAGGGUGAUUCAACAAGUGCUCUUAUGAUAUUUUCGAACCAUACCUUGGUGCCUAUGAUGCUGCGUAAUAGAUGGCAUAAUGCUAUCACUCUUGGAAUACAAGUUAUUUCUUCUCCCAUUUUCCGUGAAGGCAACUGUUGUGCAGAUAAAUUAGCUAAUUUGGGGCAUUCCAUGAUUGGUGAGGUUUGGCUUGACACACUGCCGAAUGAUUUGAAGGCUGAUUUUUUUCGUGAUAGAUGCGGUCUCCCUAAUUACAGAUUUCCAUAAUCUUUUUUCUGUAUUUGUCUGCUUUCUGUUUAUUUUUCUGUUGCGUUUUCUUUGGCUUCUUGGAGGGUUUUGGUCUAGACCCCCCUCCUUUUGUAAAUAUUUUUUCCCCUUUUUUUAAUAAAUUUUUGUUGAGUGUGGCGGUAUACGACGGUGGUAUCUUGGGGUGCCAACCUAGUUGGGAUGUCGAUGACGUCUCCUGAUGGCUGACUUCACUCCUUGCUUAUCAAAAAAAGUCCAAUCUUUAACAUUAUUUUUUUCUCACGUUUGUUACUAAUAUUUUUUUAGAGGAUUUAAAGUCCAAUCUUUAACAUUAUUUUUUGCUCAUGUUUGUUACUAAUUUUUUUUAGAGGAUUUAAAGUCCAAUCUUUAACAAUAUUUUUUGCUCACGUUUGUUACUAAUCUUUUUUUAGAUGAUUUAAAGUCCAAUCAUUAACAAUAUUUUUUGCUCACGUUUGUUACUAAUCUCUUUUUUAGAGGAUUAAAAGUCCAAUCUUCAACAUUAUUUUCUGCUCUCGUUUGUUACAAUUGAUCAAAGGCUAAGGAAGAGUAACUUAUGUAACAUCCCGUUUUCCCAACUUGAAAAUUUCAUAUAUAAAUCAGAUUAUUUCAACAUAAACGGAAUGUCACACUUCUUUUCAUAAAAUCAUAAACAGAAUAAAAUAACUAUUUAUCUUUCAAAUUCAACAAUAUAUCAUUUAUUACAUCGCAGCGGAAAUUAUUUCAACGUUUAAAACAACCUUGGCACAAAGGCCUGAAUGUAAAUUCUCAUAAAAUAAUUCCAACAACAUGUUCAUGAAAGUUCAUAAAAUAAUACGUAAGGAAUAGAAAGCAACAACAAAAUUCCCAUCCCGUUACGUAUCAGAGCAACCCUAAGACGACGACACGUGAGAGAGUCCUCUCACUUCAACAACUAUUCUUGAUUUCCUGCAAGUUACCCAAUUGUAAAGGCAACAUUUCCAAGCAGAAGGGGUGAGAUUUCACAUUCAAUAAUAAUAAGCAUAUAAUUCAUCAAAUGCAUUUAACAACUUAAGCUUCAUCAAUUAAUAACAUUAACUCUUCAUAUAAUACUUCAUUAAAUAAUCGAUCAACUUCUAGUCAUCAUUAAUAUCAUAUUCAUCACCUCUUAUACAUUCAUCAUAUAACAACAUAAUCAUCACAUCAUAACAUCAUCAUGUAACAUAAACAUCACAUCAUAAACAUCAUCUUAUAACAUCAUAUACUUCACAUCAUAAACAUCAUCAUAUAACAACAUAAACAAAAACGAUUAAAAAAUAUUAAUACUUCAAAUAGUUAUUCAUUAACAACUCAUUGAUAAAUUACAACUUAACGACAACGACAAUGCGACUUCAACAACUUAAACUCGACAAAUGCAACUUCAACUUCUUAAUCAUGCAUGUGGUACCAACCAGAGCAUCAAGCCCCCAACGUAUUGAGCGUAAAUAGGCUCAUAGGGCAUCAAGCCCUCAACGUAUUGAGCGUAAAUAGGCUCACAGGGCAUCAAGCCCUCAACUUACAGGGCAUCAAGCCCUCAACAUAAUAUGUAUAAAUAUACAUUACAGGGCAUCAAGCCCUCAACUUGAAUGAGUAUGCAUGGACUCAACGUCUUACAACUUAGAAACAUCGACCUCUUAUAUAAAUCUAAUAAUUUGGAACAACAUCUUUCAUCUUAGACCGACUCAUGCAGUUUAAUUAAUAUACAACAACAACAUAGGCAACACAUAAACAUCUCAAGAUAUAACAAUGUCAAAUAAUAAUCAAUCAUCAACUUAAGCAUAUUAUAUAAUUCACAUAAUGCAUAUACAAAUAUAUCACAUUACUAACAACAUCAAAUCAUAUUCAUCAACAUAUACAUUCAUAUAAUAAUUCAUCAAUCAUAAACAACAUCAUAUAACAUCAUAUUCAUCAACAUAUACAUUCAUAUAGAUAUUAAAUCAUCCAACAAGGAUAUUCACAUCAAACCAAAUUAGAUCCAUCACCACGUAGGUUAAAUACUCUUAAACCCCUUAAUUAAAAUCCUAAUACUUCUAAUUUUGAGUUUUGGAAUUAUUCCAUAAGUUAUGGAUUAACUUAGAAACGGUUAUGCUGAAUUUUCAUAAAAUUUUAUUAAGACCUACUUGGAGUAUUUUCAUCAUAUCUCAAGAACCAAAAAUCUUUUUCACGUCACACCGAAGCUACUGGAAAGCUAACUCAAUUAUCUACAACUUUCAUGUUUACACCAAAGGCCAAUUCCAAACGGAAACGUGUGAAAAAUACGCAAGAACAUGAAAUAGGACGUGUUGUCAGAGAGCAACUCGGGAAAACCCCACUUUUCACCCCAAAAUACCAAUUUUAACUUCUCUAUGCCAAAAUUUGAUCCAAAAACUUGUCUAACCAUUUCUAUACAUGUUAAGGCACUCAAAACCAUAUAAAACAUUGCACUAAAAAUAAUCCAUGAUCUGAACAUCAAUUCUACACAAAUUCAACGGAUUUUCUACUCUAUUAACAACCAAUUACAACUUCAAAACCUAAUUCCCAAAUUUCCAUAACUACAACCUACAACAUGCUAAACUCAAUUUCAGAAUUAUACAACUUAGAAUUAGAGAAAGUUAGUCCCACACUUACCUUAACAAAUCGAUCCUUGGUUUUCUGACUUCUCACUUUCUCCCUUUAUCUCCCAAAAACAGUUUGCACCUUAUUUUUUAAUUCUAACUCUCCCCUUUUAUAUAAAUCCUUAACCUUCUUAUUUUCUCUUAUUUCCAAAUAUGCCCUUCAAGUCUCAAUGUUCUAUUCUAAUAUAUAUAUAUAUAUAUAUAUAUAUAUAUAUAUAUAUAUAUAUAUAUAAUAUUUCUAUAACAAAUAACAAUUAUCUCUAUAAGAAAUAUAUUUCUAUAACAUAUAUAUAUUUCUACACCAAAUAAGAAAUAUAUUUCUACACCAGAUAACAUAUAUUUCUACACAAAACAACAUAUAUUUCUACAACAAAUAACUUAUAUUUCUACAACAAAUAACAUAAUAUUUCUACACAAAAUAACAUAUAUUUCUACAAUAAAUAACAUAUAUAUUCUACAACAAAUAACAUGUAUUUCUACAACAAAUAACAUAAUAUUUCUACUUAUUCAACUAAACUCUUCUAAUUUCCAAAACAGCCCCCACAACUUAAUCUUAUUUUAUUUUCAAAUCUUAUUCUAUUAAAUAAUAAAAUAAGCCACUUAAUAAAUCAACAACACCUCACAAAAACCAUAUAAAUCACAAAAGUCAUAAAAAUAGACUAUAAACUCAAUAAAAUAAAUAAAUAUUAAAAUAGUGCAUUACAACUUAUAUUAAUAAAAUAAUAAAAUAAUCUGGAAAUAUUGUUUUUUGUGGAAGUAAUAAAAUAAUAUGGAAAUAUUGUUUUUUGUGGAAGGGAUAUGAAAAUAUUUGGCAAUCUUUGUGGGUUGUAUUGAGGCGAACAACACAGAUGUACAACAUAAAAUCGGCUGAUAAAAAGGUAACUUGAGUUUUUGUUUUGUGCUAGUUUUUUGUGAGUUUGAUUUGUGGUUAACGGAGGUAAAAGAAAGUUAACGGGGACGAUUAGUGACAUGGAUUAGUAAUCUACUUGUUAUUUUAUAAUUGCCUAAUAGUAAGAACAAUUCAUAAGGAAUUGUGUGUAAGUUUUCUCUUUAAAAUUAAAUUUAUUCUUAUAUAUUUGUUAUAUGGGUUAUUUGUAUUUAAAAUUAAAAUAAAAAAUUAAGGGAAUUUUUGGAAAGAAAAGUCCAACCCAAAAGCGUGCUGAAAGGGAUUGUUUACUUUAUAUAUAAUAUAGAUAACACAUUACCAUACAACUCACCCGCACGACGCAUGGAUGUACGAUCUAGUUUCUUUUUAUUCAUGAAAAUGAAAUCCCACACACGAAAUACAAACAUUGAAUCCUUAUUCAAAAUUGAAAUAUAAAGAACAUAAAAACAAAUUUUUUGAUUGGAAUUAUUUUAAGCUUCAUAAUAUCAAGGCGUGUCAUAUACUUGUUGGCAAUUACUCCACUUUUGAACUUUAAGAAAAUUCAUGUGCCACUUGGAUUUUUCAAACUUAAUGUGAAUUCAAACAUCCACUAAACCCUCGGUGCUCAAAUUGGAACAGGAUCAACCAACACUUCUUUAAUACAAGUCUUCAUUAGUCUGUUAGAAUCUGUGUAGUUAUCUUCGUUUUUGUAAACAACAUCCAUAAAACGCGAAAGGUUAAGAACACAAGUCAUAAAAGGCAUUGGAACUUUGGUUGGCCUAAGACAUUCUUCAUUUAUAUCUUUCCAAACAAUUGUCAUUCUAUUUUUGCAUUCUUGAAUAGCAGCUUCUCUCGACAUAUC